GACGAACGCUGGCGGCGUGCUUAACACAUGCAAGUCGAACGGAAAGGCCCUGCUUUUGUGGGGUGCUCGAGUGGCGAACGGGUGAGUAACACGUGAGUAACCUGCCCUUGACUUUGGGAUAACUUCAGGAAACUGGGGCUAAUACCGGAUAGGAGCUCCUGCUGCAUGGUGGGGGUUGGAAAGUUUCGGCGGUUGGGGAUGGACUCGCGGCUUAUCAGCUUGUUGGUGGGGUAGUGGCUUACCAAGGCUUUGACGGGUAGCCGGCCUGAGAGGGUGACCGGCCACAUUGGGACUGAGAUACGGCCCAGACUCCUACGGGAGGCAGCAGUGGGGAAUUUUGCACAAUGGGCGGGAGCCUGAUGCAGCAACGCCGCGUGCGGGAUGACGGCCUUCGGGUUGUAAACCGCUUUCGCCUGUGACGAAGCGUGAGUGACGGUAAUGGGUAAAGAAGCACCGGCUAACUACGUG
rnacentral:rRNA from 1 species